AGGGAUCUGCUGACCAGAGGUGACUGCCACA
rnacentral:piRNA from 1 species